UACAACAAUUAGCGAAUAAUUAUAGGACGUGUGAGAGCGAUAUAUUUCAACAAUGAAAGCGGAUUACAAGCAGGAGAGCCUGAUGUUCUUGAUGAGCAGCUUUUGGGCAGCAUCAUUGAUCAAGGAGAACCCGAUGAGCUCGAAGACCAGCUCUUGGGCAGCAACAUCCUAGGCGAUAGCUCUCCAUUCACGCGAGUUUGGAGUGCU